rnacentral:rRNA from 1 species
UACGAAGGGGGCUAGCGUUGCUCGGAAUCACUGGGCGUAAAGCGCACGUAGGCGGAUUGUUAAGUCAGGGGUGAAAUCCUGGAGCUCAACUCCAGAACUGCCUUUGAUACUGGCGAUCUCGAGUCCGGAAGAGGAGAGUGGAAUUCCCGGUGUAGCGGUGAAAUGCGCAGAUAUCGGGAAGAACACCCGUGGCGAAGGCGGCUCUCUAGUACGUGACUGACGCUGAGACGCGAAAGCGUGGGGAGCGAACAGG